GUAUCAUGGAAGUCCAAUAACAAGUGGCCCUAAGCAGAUAAGAUAAAGAAGAAUAUAGAAAUAGUUGAGAUUAGAGGGAAUAUUCCAUGGCCUUAGCACACUGCACUUCAACUCCUUUAGCCUACUAUAAAUAUAUGGAUGUGCUCGGUUUAGUUUGGCAACAAAGAGUAGUUGGCGAGUCAUUUAAUCUUACCAAGCUAAAUGAGGAGCAGUAAUGCAGUAUCUUUUCAACUGGAGAGGA
rnacentral:lncRNA from 1 species